CCAAUUUCAUAUAGUUUUAUAUACAUAUUGCUAAUUCAUUAGCCCUUCAAUCAGCACUGCCCCCAAUGUGCCCUCUGUCUAACAUCAGAUGAUAUACCUUUCAAUGGGAGAGUGCUGCCACUUGAAUGGUUAAUAACGAGUUGCAAUAAUUCUUUACAAGAAUAAUUAAUAUAAACAAUUUUUUACAUUACACUUUUUCAAGUAUCUAGACAGC